rnacentral:lncRNA from 1 species
CAAAGGUAUGUGCUGUGUGGGCAGCUCGGGCCUCUCCUUACCCAUGGCCUUCUCCACAGGUCACUGAGAGCAGGACACCGUCUAAGAUGUGGGCUGCUCUCCGGCAGACAGCUCCGGGGCCCGGAGACUGGAACAUGCAACUGGAAAAUAAAAACUCAAGUAUUCCAAGAAGAUUGUGCAAAGGCUCAGAAUAUAAAGGUGUGGCGUUUCUAAGCAUUGCCACACGUACUUCUCCAGCCAAGUCAGACAUGUCACAGCAGAAGCCAGCUCCAGACAGCCCACGUGAAGAAGCACAACUUCUGGACUCCGUGGAACAUGGCUGGACUAGAUGUCUGAUGGUCUUAGAAGGGUACAGAGAUCAGACCCGCAAAGGAGGGGAGCGCUGCACGCAGAAUGGAGCUACCACCCACCGCCCUGGCUCCUGCUCACAGCUCCAGUCUCCUUUAUCCGCUCUUGCGGGCCGUGGAGGUCAGAUGGGGUGAAGCCCCUGGGCCGGGAGAUAUGGAGCCUCUGAAUGUGAGGGGGAAGAGGAGAGGAGAGGGGUCAGGGGAGGGGAGGAAGACAGAGACCGGGGUGAUGCAGGUAGAAACCAGAGCCAAGGAUUGUCAGCCGCUAGCAGAUUCUAGGAGACACAUACGGAGUGGAUCCUCCCUUAGUGCCUCCAGAAGAAACUAACCCUGCCAGCACCUUGAGUUUGCACUUCUGGCAUCCAGAGCUGUGAAAUAA